CAGGGUAGCCUGAAUCAGGGCAGUGAGGUGCUCUGGGCCAGGAGGGGAGGCCAAGUGCCACCUCUGUGUUUCUCAGUCCCUCUGUUCAUUUCUCAGCAAAGGGACUGGAAAUGUGCCUCUGUGGUUGUGGUGUUGGCCAAGGCAGAGAGGUUGUGGUGUGGCACAGUCUCCCCACGGAGGGCAGCUCCUGGAGGCAGAGGCUGAGUGUGAUCUCUUGGGUGGGGAGGCAGAGCCCAUCAUGAUGCUGGGGGACCCUCUCAGUGAGCUGUCCCGCUGCUGUGGCUGCAGGAGAACUCUCUCUGGGGCUGGUGUGAGCCCCAGGAACACCUGCACGGGCUGGAAAAGCUGCUGGAUGGGGACAGCAGUUGGCAGGGAUGUGAAAGGAGCCUUGCUGCCUGCACAGGACCAUCUGCAAGCUGCCCUGGGACCUCUCCCGUCCCGCCCUGCUCGCAGGCUGGACCUGCAGGGCAUGGUCUGUGCCCGAGAGCUGACUGGGCAGAAACAGGGAAACCCAAAUAAAAUCCCUGGGCAGAGGGGUAAUACAGGCACACAGGCAACCUUGGCAAAGCCAUUUAUCAACAGCAAGUGCUGAGCUUGGUUUGCCAAACAAAACAAAGACUGCUCCUUCAGUGACGAGGGGAUGGAGACUGAAACACAUCCCUUUGGAAAGGCUGAAUUGCUGCUGUGCAGAGAGCAGCCCCCAGCUGUCCUGAGCACGGGGGAGCUGGGCUGAGCCAUGUGCACUGCCCAGCUUCGUGUGCUGGGCUCGGCUCAAGAGCUGAGAAUGACUCAGGCCAGAGCUGCCCGAGGUCACCCACCCUCGGGAGAUGAGCGCUGCGCUUUUGUCCUCGGCAACAGGAGCAAGGUAUUUCAGUGAAUGCUGCUCUUCCCGAGCUUCCAUUGAAAGAGACUGAUCUUUUGCUCAAAGCAGAUUCUUUAAGAAUGUGGAUAGGAAUCUUUAAAAUAACAACUUUCACUGUUCCCUGUCUUAUUUUACAGAAGAAAAGAGCAGAAAGGUGUUUGAUCUCCCUAAGAAGGGGGGGGAAAAAAGCCCUCUUCCAAAUGUAUAACAGUACUUCCUUGUAAAAGGAGCAGCUUCCAGAUGGAAAGGGUUUGCUUGGACUUCUGAUUGCUCAAGUGAAGUUUCAAGUGAUGGGUUUUACUGAUGGGGGGAGGCAGGGAGGCUCUCUGAUGGAAAACAUCAUCAGUGAGCGCUCUUUUCUGCUCAGACAGGACAGAUCAACACAGAGAGGGGGAGCCUGAUUAAGGACCUGUGGUCUUGCAAGUGGGUCUGAUGUUGACACCAGGGGAGUUAAUGACAGAGUUAGUGGCAGGGUCAGAAGGGAAUGGACAGACAUGAGAAAAGGCAUCACUCUAAGAAAAGGGGCUUCUUAUCACAAAGUCAUUCUCACCCAGUCUCUGUUUCCAUUUACAUGUGCUCCCAGGUGGGACCAGCAGCUUCCCCAGCAUUUCCUGCAAAGCUCCUUGUGCUCAUGGGUGGCAUCUCCUACCUCCUGCUCUAUUACAGAAUCACUUUGGCCCCUCAGAGCCAAGGAAUGCUUAAAGGAAGGAAAAAAGGGAUUUUGAGAGACGUACAGGACUUCUGCUUUUAGAACAAAUCCCCUGCUUCCCUUUCUUUUUUUACUGCUCCAUUUGAACUUGGAAAAACUUGCUUCUUCUGUGCCUCUUCCCUGAACAUCUUCAAGAAAAUACCCAGUCAGAACUUUCUAGAUAGAGGAAAUUAUCUAAUGCAUUUAUCAGUGGGUACCAGCAGACUGUGGUACGAGCAUCUAUAGAAAGUAUCAAUCAGGAGAUUUAAUCAGUAUUAGAGAAGCUCCUAUGUGAGCUGAGAAGUGCCAAUGUAAAUGAAAAUCCAGCCCAAUGCUGUCUGCUUCCCCUUCCUCUUCUUAGCAUAUAGCCCUGAUUACCACUUUCUUUCUGUCACUGACUUCUCUACUUUAAAUGUUGGGGUUUUAUCUAGAACUGCUUUUUGAACUUUUUUUUUUUUUAUUUCUCUACUAUUAAUUUCUUUGUAAUUAUUUUCUUGUUUGUUUCUGGCUUUGUCUUCUCCCCCUUAGCUACAGCCUGCUUCCAGAUUUUUGGCUAUGUCUGUCUCCUUUUUUCCCUCGAGAAUAAAUCAGAAAUUAAAGUCCUACAAUCCUUCCCAGAUGUGUCUGCUAUUUCAGAGGAGAAGCUGGGAAUUGAAGUGUCACCCUGUGUGCAGGCAGCUUGACAGCUUUGCAAAACAUUGUCACCUUCGAAAUUCUCCUGAGUGGGAACAGCAGCAUUGUGACAGUGAUGUUGGAGAGCUGGUAACUACCUCUUGCCAUUUCUGAAACCUCAACCUGAGCAGUCUUCAAAACACCUCUGUGUAGAUGAAAUGAAGCUUUUGCCAUGCCUGCUGUUUAAUAAAGCCCAAACUUUUAUACCCUGAAAUGCUACAUUAAAAAAGCAGAAAUCCUUU